rnacentral:rRNA from 1 species
AUGCACGCUGGCGGCGUGCCUAAUACAUGCCCGUCGAGCGAACGGACGAGAAGCUUGCUUCUCUGAUGUUAGCGGCGGACGGGUGAGUAACACGUGGAUAACCUACCUAUAAGACUGGGAUAACUUCGGGAAACCGGAGCUAAUACCGGAUGAUAUUUUGAACCGCAUGGUUCAAAAGUGAAAGACGGUCUUGCUGUCACUUAUAGAUGGAUCCGCGCUGCAUUAGCUAGUUGGUAAGGUAACGGCUUACCAAGGCAACGAUGCAUAGCCGACCUGAGAGGGUGAUCGGCCACACUGGAACUGGGACACGGUCCAGACUCCUACGGGAGGCAGCAGUAGGGAAUCUUCCGCAAUGGGCGAAAGCCUGACGGAGCAACGCCGCGUGAGUGAUGAAGGUCUUCGGAUCGUAAAACUCUGUUAUUAGGGAAGAACAUAUGUGUAAGUAACUGUGCACAUCUUGACGGUACCUAAUCAGAAAGCCACGUCUAACUACGUG